UUUAAAGAGAGUUUGAUCCUGGCUCAGGACGAACGCUGGCGGCGUGCCUAAUACAUGCAAGUCGAACGAACGGAGGAAGAGCUUGCUCUUCCAAAGUUAGUGGCG
rnacentral:rRNA from 2 species